UCCCUGGCAGUCCAGUGGUUAGGACUCCAAACUCUCACUGCUGAUGCUGAGGGCCCAGGUUCAACCCCUGGUUAGGGAA
rfam:Ovis aries breed Texel chromosome 2, whole genome shotgun sequence.